rnacentral:rRNA from 1 species
GACGGGGGGGGCAAGUGUUCUUCGGAAUGACUGGGCGUAAAGGGCACGUAGGCGGUGAAUCGGGUUGAAAGUGAAAGUCGCCAAAAAGUGGCGGAAUGCUCUCGAAACCAAUUCACUUGAGUGAGACAGAGGAGAGUGGAAUUUCGUGUGUAGGGGUGAAAUCCGUAGAUAUUAGGAAGAACACCAGUGGCGAAGGCGGCUCACUGGCCCGGUACUGACGCUGAGGCGCGAAAGCGUGGGGAGCAAACAGG